GACGUAGGGGGCGAGCGUUGUCCGGAUUUAUUGGGCGUAAAGCGUGCGUAGGCGGCUGCGCAAGUCGGGUGUGAAACCCCGGGGCUCAACCCCGGAACUGCAUCCGAUACUGCGUGGCUAGAGGUAGGUAGGGGAGAUCGGAAUUCCUGGUGUAGCGGUGAAAUGCGCAGAUAUCAGGAGGAACACCGGUGGCGAAGGCGGCACUCUGGGCCGGAACUGACGCUGAGGAGCGAAAGCGUGGGGAGCAAACAGG
rnacentral:rRNA from 1 species